rnacentral:lncRNA from 1 species
GGCAGCGGCCGUUACACCGCGGCGCGCCCCAAGCACGCAUGCACACUGCUUCACCCCCCCCUUGUCCUUUACCCCGCGGGCCGCCAUUCGCUGGGCGCCCAGCCCGCCUCCCCGGCCUCUCACUGCCGGCCCUGCGCAUGUGUUGUAGGAGGGGGAGCGUUACCUAUACAAAUAACACAUUUUAAGAAGUCAAGCCCCAAGGAACUGUUAGGUGGAAAUAUAACCCAGAGAUUAACAUUUAUCAUGCUGAGAUUCGGGCAGCACAUCAUCAAGCCCUCCGUGGUCUUCCUGAAGACUGAGCUCUCCUUUGCUCUUGUGAACCGCAAGCCGGUGGUCCCAGGCCGUAUCCUUUUGAGCAGUGCCUUGGCCAUGGGUGCCUGUGUUCUGUGGAGACGCUGAGGAAGGUUGGCAUGCUCUGAAGGCCAGGUCUCUGAAUCAUUUGGAAUGCAGGAAGAGUGGUGCUAGCUUCAGGAGCAGCUGCUGAGAGCCUUUCUUCUUUGUGUGGUUCAGUGUAUUGCCCCAGUUUUUAUCUGCUGUUCCUUAUGCUCAAGAUUUUCUUCCUUUAUGGUCUUCCCUGUGACACUUAUAAUACCUGUAAGUAUGAACUUC